GGCAAGGUGGCCGAGUGGUUAAGGUUCGUGGACUUCAUGACCCUCUCUCCUCUCAUCAUCUUACUAACCCGAUGUAGGCGAUGGCCUGCUAUCUGAGCAUAUCAGCCAUUGGGUUCGCCCGCGCGUGUUCGAAUCACGUCCUUGUCG